rnacentral:lncRNA from 10 species
GAGUCGGCAGCCGCGGAGCCAGCGCACGGGCAUCGGCGGGACCCGGCGGACGGAAAGGCGGAGUGGGGGUCUUUGGACUGCACGACUAUAAUUUCAUGUGUGUGAAAUUCAAGGGGAAAAAGGAAACAAUACAUAAUCCAGCAUCACCAGUGUCACACUUCAGGACCUGAUGAAAUGUUUUAUCUUCUGAAAAGCUUUCCUGGCUCAGAUGAGGUGACUCAUGUCAGCCUACACAAAGGCUUCUUCAUAUACUAGAAUUUCUACUAUAAUUUUUCAGCCUUUCCACAAAACAAGUCUUACCAUAAUCCAGCAACAGAGCAAAAGAGAAGUCAAUGAUGAGAAGCUUGAUAAUGUAAAGGUUUAGUUCUAAGGUGGGUAGCAGUCACUCUUUCACUCAACAAGUAUUUAUUAAGUGCCCACCAUGUGCUGGGUGCUAGAAUUACAAUGAUAAACAAAAGAUGUGGUCGUUAUUUUGCCAUUUUCACACCACCUCUUUAGUCACUACUUUUCUUUCUCUUUCGGACAACUCAAUGUAUCCUCUAACUGGUGUUUCUGCUUAUACUUUGAUCUCCCUUUGAUCCAUUCUUCACCCAAUAGUCAGAAGGAUCUUUUGAUCAUUAAAUCCCCUCCUUAAGCCUCUCAGAAGUUCCACUUGUGGAACAGCAGUGUAAGGAGCUCUAUGUACCCACUCCCCAGAGUCAGCCAUAACUAUUGAGCGUUAUAUAUUUUUUAAAAACCCAAUCAUUUAUAAAUCCCUGGAAAUUGUCCUAAGAGCAUAUAGCAAAUGAAGAAACAUUUAUUAAAGAAAAUCUAUUAGAUCUUGGCAGAAACAAAAGGAAUCUUUGGCACAACCCACCCCCUCCCUCCUCCCUUCCCAUCUCAACCUGAUGACAGAAGUUGCAAUCUGGUCAAAUAUCACCAAGAAAAUGGGGCUCCUCUCCCCUCUGCUCCUAGUCAAGGGAUAUAGUAGCACUCUAGGAAGGGCAGGCCACUAGCAUUUUUCAUCACCCACCUCUGAAUUGCAGAAGCUAAAUUCCUGGUGAGUGUGGCUGAGGGAUGAGGGGCUCCCUUCCUCCACCCAACUCCCACUCAUAGAUGGAGGCUCUGUCCUAGGCAUGGGAGGUCAAGAGUACUGGGGUCACAGUAGUCCUUGUUCCAGCUUACUUUUAGGGUGGAGGUUUCAUGCCAGGAGAGGCAAGACAAGAUCUGAAGCUACCAUUCCCAUCUUCUACCUUGUUUGUAAAGCAGGGGUGUCAGUUCAAGAGAAGCAGGCUACUGUCCCUGUCCUCACUUUCAGGGCAGUGGCUCAGAUAUUCUGCCCUGGAGAAGAGGAAGUCCCUAAGAACAGAGAGCUCUAACACUCUCCCCAAA